UUUUGCAUGUGGGAGGCAAGGCAAACCUGCCUGUCUUGGGAUUGCCAGGCCCACCCUCCAGCAGUUCCUGGUGGACCUUCCAUCUCCCCACCCCCCACCCACGCUCACAGCCCUGAUGCUUUUGGGGCUGGAGAUUCAGGAGAGCAUUUGGAGAGGAAGCACACGGGCCAUGGUAGGGGGCUGUUGGGCUCGGCUCAGGUGAGUCUGGGGGUCUGUGGCACUUGGCUCUGUGCUGUCUACGUGAUCAGAGAAGCCGCGCACCACUAUCUCAGGUCCUGCAGGAAGUGGUUGGAGCUGGGCCAGGGUGGGGCUGGGUGGGAGGCGGCGCCCUCUGCAUUGUAGUCAGGAAGGGUACUCAGAGAUGGCUCCAGGUUCUCUCCUCCACACGGCGGCCAUCCUUGCCCAUCAGCACGGCCAGGAAAGAGACAGGACUCAGGCCAGAUUGCCUGGGCUUGCCUGCCAGUUCUGCCAUUUGGAUUGUCUCAGGCAGGUGACCUCCCCUACUGGAGCCUCAGCUUGCUCGCUCUAUAAAUGGGAAUGAGCAGCGCCACUCUGCAGGACGUUGGAGGGAUUCGUACACUAUGGGUAAGGGUCUGAAACACUGAGCAGGGCCUCAGUUAUUAUUAGGUGAUGGGAUUUACACGCAGGACCCUCAACUGAUGUGGCUUCAGUGUUUCUCUCUCCACCCAGUGCCUCCCAGGGCACUGACAGGGUUCAGAUGUGGUUGCAUCAGAGGCACAUGCAGCUGGGACAGUAGCUGUCUCUGGGAGCAGGACCAGGGCUCCUGGGAAAGUCCAUGGACCUGGUGUUAUCCCCUCGUGUUGGGGAGCAGAGAGUGCUUCCCAGCACAAGGAAGUAGAGGAGCAGGCAUGAGACUCAGGCAACCUGAUAGAGGAAAACUUCAAGGAGAGGAAUGUCUGUUCACUAAGAUUUCAAAUACAGUUUGCCCUUUUCCCUUUAGGACACCUUAUUUAAUGCCGUCAGCUUCUAAAUAUCCUUAGAGAACUUUCAUGACAUCGUAGUUUCACACUAGAGUUGCUUAUAAAAGCCAAACUUCCUUUCUUUUCUUUCUUUUUUUUUUUUUUUGUAAGACGGACUCUCGCUCUGUUACCCAGGCUGGAGUGUAGUGGUGUGAUCUUGGUUCACUGCAACCUCCGCUUCCCGGGUUCAAGCGAUUCUCCUGCCUCAGCCUCCCAAGUAGCUGGGAUUACAAGUGCGCACCAUCACGCCUGGCUAAUUUAUUGUAUUUUUAGUAGAGAUGGGGUCUCAUCAUGUUGGCCAGGCUGGUCUCGGACACCUGACCUCAAGUGAUCCACCUGCUUUGGCCUCCCAGAGUGUUGGGAUUACAGGCGUGAGCCAUGGAGCCCGGCCCAAACUUCCAUUUUUAAGCAGUUCACGAAUCCCGCCUACUUCCUGCAGAUCACCCGGUCCUUCGUUCUCAUAACCCCAAGAAGCAGGGAGGGGCACAUGCACCUGAGGGCCUUGCUUCUGCUGGCUCUGGGUCUUACGAAGGAAGAGUGGAUCUUCCUAAGCAUUCAGGUAGCAACAUUACCCCAGCUGGAGGAGAACAAUCCCAUUUGAAGGAAGGGAGGUGAUGGAGUCCUGGGCGUGGGAAUGACAGGGACAAUGGAAAGCCCUGAAAGCUCCUGUGAGGCAGCAGAGCCAGGAAUGCUAAGCGAGGCUCGUUUCCUGAGCAGGAAGGAACUGAAUCAUGAUUCCGAGGUGAUGUGGUUUCCAUCAAGCCCUGUAGCCUGCCUAGGUGUAUGGUUUUAUCUGAUGGGAGUGUGACUCAGCCGAGCUCUGAGGGUGUGUGCCCCAGGCCCACUGCCAGCUUCCUGGGAAGGGGUGCCAGCCCAACUCUGUACAGAGAGGAGAAAACACAGCUGCCGUUUCUAGAGCUACGAGAAGGGAGGCGAGGUCAAAGGACUCUGCUCAACUCCAGCUGCUUGGUUUUGCUUCAGCUGUCUCAGUCUUUCUAGUAAACUUGACCUGUUGCC
rnacentral:lncRNA from 1 species